GAUGAACGCUGGCGGCGUGCCUAAUACAUGCAAGUAGAACGCUGAAGGAGGAGCUUGCUCUUCUGGAUGAGUUGCGAACGGGUGAGUAACGCGUAGGUAACCUGCCUGGUAGCGGGGGAUAACUAUUGGAAACGAUAGCUAAUACCGCAUGACAACAGUUAUUGCAUGAUAACUGUUUAAAAGGGGCAACUGCUCCACUACCAGAUGGACCUGCGUUGUAUUAGCUAGUUGGUGAGGUAACGGCUCACCAAGGCGACGAUACAUAGCCGACCUGAGAGGGUGAUCGGCCACACUGGGACGGAGACACGGCCCAGACUCCUACGGGAGGCAGCAGUAGGGAAUCUUCGGCAAUAGACGGAAGUCUGACCGAGCAACGCCGCGUGAGUGAAGAAGGUUUUCGGAUCGUAAAGCUCUGUUGUAAGAGAAGAACGAGUGUGAGAGUGGAAAGUUCACACUGUGACGGUAUCUUACCAGAAAGGGACGGCUAACUACGUG
rnacentral:rRNA from 1 species